CUAUGCGCCUUGCCAGCCCGCUCAGGUGUGCCAGCCGCGCGGUAAUACGGAGGGUGCAAGCGUUAAUCGGAAUUACUGGGCGUAAAGCGCACGCAGGCGGUUUGUUAAGUCAGAUGUGAAAUCCCCGGGCUCAACCUAGGAACUGCAUCUGAUACUGGCAAGCUUGAGUCUCGUAGAGGGGGGUAGAAUUCCAGGUGUAGCGGUGAAAUGCGUAGAGAUCUGGAGGAAUACCGGUGGCGAAGGCGGCCCCCUGGACGAAGACUGACGCUCAGGUGCGAAAGCGUGGGAGCAAACAGG
rnacentral:rRNA from 1 species